UAUGAUGCUACCACUUGAUAUUGCCUAAAAGAAUGACUCCUUGAUUAAAUGAAUGGGUUAUGUGAAAAAUGUUUUAAUUUGGAUUAAAGGAGGUUGUGUAGCUAAUCCAUGAAAGUAGAGGUCCCGAAGGACCACCAUUAAAAACCGCAUUUGCCAGCGCGGGUGUCAAAAUGACCGGGUAUUCGAGUCACCCUUGCUUUAUGAUCGGAUGUAUAUGUCACCCUUGAUAUAUGGUUGGGAGGUUCGAGGCCUCUAUGCAUAUAUGUUAUGAUUAUUCCCUGGUUCGUGUGCCUACACACCCUAUGGCCCUACCAAGGGGUAAGAGAUGGGGCCUAUAUAUCCCGUGGAUACUAUUAUGACGGUUACGCUACACAACCCAGGAUAAUAUUUUAUGUUCUUGCUAAGAAUUUUUCCCUAUCCCAGCAUGUUAUAAAUAUAU
rnacentral:lncRNA from 1 species